rnacentral:lncRNA from 1 species
UUUCUCCAUGCCUACGUACCUUAUUUUGAUAAGAUCUUAUCUUAUCUCUUUUAGGGCAUGUGGGCUUUCUUUGUGUGCGAUAAAAAUUAAGAGAGAGGAAGGGUGGCGUGUAAUAAUAUUGAGAGAAGUUUUUCACCACUCCACCUCUCUAAUGGGACGCCAUCUUUCUUUCUUCCUUCAACCUCCACGCCCAAGACCUAAUAGAGAUCAAAUCUAAGAGAUAAAAAGAGAGAGAAGAAGAGAAGAAAAAAAGUUCUUUUUCCCUUCUUGGUGAUUUGGUUUAGAUCCCAUUGGAUCUGCACGAAGGAGUUCGC